AAUCAACGCUGGCGGCGUGCCUCAGACAUGCAAGUCGAACGCGAAAGUUUCCUUCGGGGAACAAGUAGAGUGGCGCACGGGUGAGUAACACGUAGGUAAUCUACCUUUGGAUGGGGAAUAACAACCGGAAACGGUUGCUAAUACCGCAUAAUGCAGCGGCACCUAAUGGUGACAGUUGUUAAAGCGGGGAUCGAAGACCUCGCGUCUGAAGAGGAGCCUGCGGCGGAUUAGCAGUUGGUAAGGUAAUGGCUUACCAAGGCUACGAUCCGUAACCGGCCUGAGA
rnacentral:rRNA from 1 species